UACGUAGGGGGCGAGCGGUAUCCGGAUUCAUUGGGCGUAAAGCGCGCGUAGGCGGCCGCCUAAGCGGAACCUCUAACCCCGGGGCUCAACCUCGGGCCGGGUUCCGGACUGGGCGGCUCGAGUGCGGUAGAGGAGAGCGGAAUUCCCGGUGUAGCGGUGGAAUGCGCAGAUAUCGGGAAGAACACCGAUGGCGAAGGCAGCUCUCUGGGCCGUCACUGACGCUGAGGCGCGAAAGCUGGGGGAGCGAACAGG
rnacentral:rRNA from 1 species